rnacentral:rRNA from 1 species
GACGAACGCUGGCGGCGUGCUUAACACAUGCAAGUCGAACGGAAAGGCCCUGCUUUUGUGGGGUGCUCGAGUGGCGAACGGGUGAGUAACACGUGAGUAACCUGCCCUUGACUUUGGGAUAACGUCAGGAAACUGGGGCUAAUACCGGAUAGGAGCUCCUGCUGCAUGGUGGGGGUUGGAAAGUUUCGGCGGUUGGGGAUGGACUCGCGGCUUAUCAGCUUGUUGGUGGGGUAGUGGCUUACCAAGGCUUUGACGGGUAGCCGGCCUGAGAGGGUGACCGGCCACAUUGGGACUGAGAUAAGGCCCAGACUCCUACGGGAGGCAGCAGUGGGGAAUAUUGCACAAUGGGCGGAAGCCUGAUGCAGCAACGCCGCGUGCGGGAUGACGGCCUUCGGGUUGUAAACCGCUUUCGCCUGUGACGAAGCGUGAGUGACGGUAAUGGGUAAAGAAGCACCGGCUAACUACGUG